rnacentral:rRNA from 1 species
GGUAUCGCCGUUAGUCAUGUGCAAAUAUGGAUAGCUGUUUUAGCCGUCUUUAUUGACUGGUUUAUAAGAGUUAUCAGAUAUUACUUUGAUUAAAUUAGAGUGCUUAAAGCAAGUGUGUUACUUGGAUAUAAAUGCAUGGAAUGAUGGAAUAUGUUGUUAUUCUAUUUGUUGGUUUUUGAAUGAUAAAAUGAUUGAAAGGAACUGUUGGGGGCAUUCGUAUUGUUGUGAGAGAGGUGAAAUUCUUAGACCACAGCAAGACGAACUACUGCGAAAGCAUUUGCCAAGAAUGUUUUCAUUGAUCAAGAACGAAAGUUAGAGGUUCGAAGGCGAUCAGAUACCGCCCUAGUUCUAACCAUAAACUAUGCCAACUAGCAAUUUGCUUUGUAUUUUUUAUGACUAAGUGAGAGGCCACGGGAAACCUAAGUAGGGUUAUGGGGGAAGUAUGGUUGCAAAGCCGAAACUUAAAGGAAUUGACGGAAGGGCACCACCAGGAGUGGAGCCUGCGGCUUAAUUUGACUCAACACGGGAAAACUUACCUGGUCCUGACACUAGAAGGAUUGACAGAUUGAUAGCUCUUUCUUAAUUUGGUGGAUGGUGGUGCAUGGCCGUUUUUAGUUGGUGGAGUGAUUUGUCUGGUUAAUUCCGAUAACGAACGAGACUCUAGCCUAUUAAAUAAUACACGGAAUUUUAUCUUCCGCGGUAUUUCUUAGUGGGAUCAAGCG